UACGUAGGGUGCAAGCGUUAUCCGGAUUCACUGGGUUUAAAGGGUUCGUAGGUGGGCAGGUAAGUCAGUGGUGAAAGCUCCGGGCUUAACCCGGAAACUGCCAUUGAUACUAUCAGUCUUGAAUACCGUGGAGGUAAGCGGAAUAUGUCAUGUAGCGGUGAAAUGCUUAGAUAUGACAUAGAACACCAAUUGCGAAGGCAGCUUACUGCGCGAAUAUUGACACUGAGGCACGAAAGCGUGGGGAUCAAACAGG
rnacentral:rRNA from 1 species